rnacentral:misc_RNA from 1 species
GGAAAGUCCAGGUAUUUGUAUAAAUAUAGUUUCUGGGCUGCUAUUGAUAUAGAUCUUGAACUCAUCAUGGGGCAGAAGGAAUUCUGAAAAUAGUUUUUAGUGAUGCAGAUGAAGACUCAUCCUAAUAGGAAGUAGAGCAGGUAUAAAUUUUUGAGUUAUACUAAUACAUAUUUGUUUUUAAAAUAAUUUCAAGUACUAACUAUGCAUGCAAGUUAGAUCAGUCAGU